CCUACGGGUGGCAGCAGUGAGGAAUAUUGGUCAAUGGACGAGAGUCUGAACCAGCCAAGUAGCGUGAAGGAUGACUGCCCUAUGGGUUGUAAACUUCUUUUAUAUGGGAAUAAAAUGUUCCACGUGUGGGAUUUUGUAUGUACCCUAUGAAUAAGGAUCGGCUAACUCCGUGCCAGCAGCCGCGGUAAUCCGGAGGAUCCGAGCGUUAUCCGGAUUUAUUGGGUUUAACGGGGGCGUAGGUGGAUUGUUAAGUCCGUUGUGAAAGUUUGCGGCUCAACCGUUAAAUUGCAGUUGAAACUGGCAGUCUGGAGUACAGUAGAGGUGGGCAGAAUUCGUGGUGUAGCGGUGAAAUGCUUAGAUAUCACGAAGAACUCCGAUUGCGAAGGCAGCUCACUGGACUGCAACUGACACUGAGGCUCGAAAGUGUGGGUAUCAAACAGGAUUAGAUACCCCUGUAGUC
rnacentral:rRNA from 1 species